rnacentral:rRNA from 1 species
UGACAGUACUCCUACGGGAGGCAGCAGUGGGGAAUAUUGGACAAUGGGGGGAAAACCCCUGAUCCAGCAAUGCCGCGUGAAUGAAGAAGGCCUUAGGGUUGUAAAGUUCUUUCACCUGUGAAGAUAAUGACGGUAGCAGGAGAAGAAGACCCCCGGCUAACUCCGUGCCAGCAGCCGCGGUAAGACGGAGGGGGGCGUAGCGUUGUUCGGAAUGACUGGGCGUAAAGGGCGCGUAGGCGGUUUUUUAAGUUGAGGCGUGAAAGCCCUGGGCUUAACCCAGGAGGUGCGUUUCAUACUGGAAGACUUGAGUGCGAGAGAGGAAAGUGGAAUUCCUAGUGUAGAGGUGAAAUUCGUAGAUAUUAGGAAGAACACCUGUGGCGAAGGCGGCUUUCUGGCUCGCAACUGACGCUGAGGCGCGAAAGCGUGGGGAGCAAACAGGAUUAGAUACCCCUGGUAG